CUGAUUUCUUUUGAUUUUCCCAUGAUUUCAAGAAAAGAGGCACUGAGUUUGAAUGUCCACUAGGGACUCUUCGUGUUUCACGGUUGUCCUCAACAACCUGUGUGUGUUUCUCAUCUUUGAUUGGCUCCAGUUGGUUCGGGACUUCCUGCGCAUGCCCUUGAGAAGGGGUGGGUGGUCCACCUCGCCAGCUCUGGCCCAGCGGCAGCAGUAACCCAGGCACCACGGGUGCUGUCAUGCACUAGACAGUCAAGGGCGGCGUGUUCACCAAGAGGUCUACUGUGCCUGUCAUGCAGGAUCGGUACCCGGAGGUCAAGAUCAAUGUGGCGGGUGAUAAGGAGC